AUUGAACGCUAGCGGGAUGCUUUACACAUGCAAGUCGAACGAGUGGCGGACGGGUGAGUAAUAUAUCGGAACGUGCCCAGUAGCGGGGGAUAACUACUCGAAAGGGUGGCUAAUACCGCAUACUAUUUGAGCGGCCGAUAUCGGAUUAGCUAGUUGGUGGGGUAAAGGCUCACCAAGGCAACGAUCCGUAGCUGGUUUGAGAGGAAGACCAGCAAACCGGGGACUGAGAAACGGCCCAGACUCCUAGGGGGGGCAGAAGGGGGGAAUUUGGGAAAAGGGGGGAAACCCUGAUCCAGCCAUCCCGGGUGAAUGAGAAGGCCUUGGGGUUGAAAAGUACUUCUGGCAGAGAAGCGGUAUCGGCAGAAUAAGCACCGGUUACCUACGUGCCAGCAGCCGCGUAAUUC
rnacentral:rRNA from 1 species